rnacentral:rRNA from 1 species
AUGAACGCUAGCUACAGGCUUAACACAUGCAAGUCGAGGGGCAGCAUGGUCUUAGCUUGCUAAGGCCGAUGGCGACCGGCGCACGGGUGAGUAACACGUAUCCAACCUGCCGUCUACUCUUGGACAGCCUUCUGAAAGGAAGAUUAAUACAAGAUGGCAUCAUGAGUCCGCAUGUUCACAUGAUUAAAGGUAUUCCGGUAGACGAUGGGGAUGCGUUCCAUUAGAUAGUAGGCGGGGUAACGGCCCACCUAGUCUUCGAUGGAUAGGGGUUCUGAGAGGAAGGUCCCCCACAUUGGAACUGAGACACGGUCCAAACUCCUACGGGAGGCAGCAGUGAGGAAUAUUGGUCAAUGGGCGAGAGCCUGAACCAGCCAAGUAGCGUGAAGGAUGACUGCCCUAUGGGUUGUAAACUUCUUUUAUAAAGGAAUAAAGUCGGGUAUGGAUACCCGUUUGCAUGUACUUUAUGAAUAAGGAUCGGCUAACUCCGUGCCAGCAGCCGCGGUAAUACGGAGGAUCCGAGCGUUAUCCGGAUUUAUUGGGUUUAAAGGGAGCGUAGAUGGAUGUUUAAGUCAGUUGUGAAAGUUUGCGGCUCAACCGUAAAAUUGCAGUUGAUACUGGAUAUCUUGAGUGCAGUUGAGGCAGGCGGAAUUCGUGGUGUAGCGGUGAAAUGCUUAGAUAUCACGAAGAACUCCGAUUGCGAAGGCAGCCUGCUAAGCUGCAACUGACAUUGAGGCUCGAAAGUGUGGGUAUCAAACAGGAUUAGAUACCCUGGUAGUCCACACGGUAAACGAUGAAUACUCGCUGUUUGCGAUAUACGGCAAGCGGCCAAGCGAAAGCGUUAAGUAUUCCACCUGGGGAGUACGCCGGCAACGGUGAAACUCAAAGGAAUUGACGGGGGCCCGCACAAGCGGAGGAACAUGUGGUUUAAUUCGAUGAUACGCGAGGAACCUUACCCGGGCUUAAAUUGCAGAUGAAUUACGGUGAAAGCCGUAAGCCGCAAGGCAUCUGUGAAGGUGCUGCAUGGUUGUCGUCAGCUCGUGCCGUGAGGUGUCGGCUUAAGUGCCAUAACGAGCGCAACCCUUGUUGUCAGUUACUAACAGGUUCCGCUGAGGACUCUGACAAGACUGCCAUCGUAAGAUGUGAGGAAGGUGGGGAUGACAUCAAAUCAGCACGGCCCUUACGUCCGGGGCUACACACGUGUUACAAUGGGGGGUACAGAGGGCCGCUACCACGCGAGUGGAUGCCAAUCCCCAAAACCUCUCUCAGUUCGGACUGGAGUCUGCAACCCGACUCCACGAAGCUGGAUUCGCUAGUAAUCGCGCAUCAGCCACGGCGCGGUGAAUACGUUCCCGGGCCUUGUACACACCGCCCGUCAAGCCAUGGGAGCCGGGGGUACCUGAAGUGCGUAACCGCGAGGAGCGCCCUAGGGUAAAACUGGUGACUGGGGCU